rnacentral:rRNA from 1 species
GGGGAAUUUUCCGCAAUGGGCGAAAGCCUGACGGAGCAAUACCGCGUGAGGGAGGAAGGCUCUUGGGUUGUAAACCUCUUUUCUCAAGGAAGAAUAUUGACGGUACUUGAGGAAUCAGCAUCGGCUAACUCCGUGCCAGCAGCCGCGGUAAUACGGAGGAUGCAAGCGUUAUCCGGAAUGAUUGGGCGUAAAGCGUCCGUAGGUGGCUGUGUGUGUCUAUUGUUAAAGAGUUUGGCUCAACCAAAUAAGGGCGGUAGAAACUACACAGCUAGAGUGCGUUCGGGGCAGAGGGAAUUCCUGGUGUAGCGGUGAAAUGCGUAGAGAUCAGGAAGAACACCGGUGGCGAAAGCGCUCUGCUAGGCCGCAAACUGACACUGAGG